GCUCCCGUAGAGUAAAGGUUAUCUCGCUUCCCUCUCAAGGAAGAGACUGCCGGUUCGAAUCCGGUCGGGAGUGC
rnacentral:tRNA from 2 species